rnacentral:rRNA from 1 species
ACGCUGGCGGCAGGCCUAACACAUGCAAGUCGAACGGUAACAGGAUAGCUUGCUAUCGCUGACGAGUGGCGGACGGGUGAGUAAUACUUAGGGAUCUGCCCUUGGGUGGGGGAUAACCAUUGGAAACGAUGGCUAAUACCGCAUAAAGUCUACGGACCAAAGGGGGCUUCGGCUCUCACCUGAGGAUGAACCUAAGCGAGAUUAGCUUGUUGGUGAGGUAAAGGCUCACCAAGGCGACGAUCUCUAGCUGUUCUGAGAGGAAGAUCAGCCACACUGGGACUGAGACACGGCCCAGACUCCUACGGGAGGCAGCAGUGGGGAAUAUUGCACAAUGGGGGAAACCCUGAUGCAGCCAUGCCGCGUGUGUGAAGAAGGCCUUAGGGUAGUAAAGCACUUUCAGACGUGAGGAAAGUUUGUUGGUUAAUACCCAACAGAUGUGACGUUAGCGUCAGAAGAAGCACCGGCUAACUCCGUGCCAGCAGCCGCGGUAAUACGGAGGGUGCGAGCGUUAAUCGGAAUUACUGGGCGUAAAGCGCACGCAGGCGGUUAUAUAAGCUAGAUGUGAAAGCCCCGGGCUUAACCUGGGAGAGUCAUUUAGAACUGUAUGACUAGAGUUUUGGAGAGGGGAGUGGAAUUCCAGGUGUAGCGGUGAAAUGCGUAGAUACCUGGAGGAACAUCAGUGGCGAAGGCGGCUCUCUGGCCAAAAACUGACGCUCAUGUGCGAAAGCGUGGGUAGCGAACAGGAUUAGAUACCCUGGUAGUCCACGCCGUAAACGCUGUCUACUAGCUGUGUGCGGAUUCAUUUCUGUGCGUAGCGAAGCUAACGCGAUAAGUAGACCGCCUGGGGAGUACGGCCGCAAGGUUAAAACUCAAAUGAAUUGACGGGGGCCCGCACAA